UGAGGGAAGGGUAAAUAAAGACAAAGAGGGGUAAGUAAUUAUUAUAAUUAAUUAUAACCCUGUUUGGAAAGGGAUGAGCUAAUGAAGGGUACGGGUAAGUAAGGUAAGGCUUAUCUCCCUUAACCCUCAAAUCUCAAUUUUUCUCACAUUUCAAAUCAAUUGGGGUGUAAGCAGAGGAGGUGAUAGAUGAAAAUUAUUUUAUUUUUUA
rnacentral:misc_RNA from 1 species